AAGUCAGAAGUGAAAUCCAAUAGCUCAACUAUUGAACUGCUUUUGAAACUGAUUACCUAGAAUAUGGGAGAGGUAGAUGGAAUUUCUGGUGUAGGGGUAAAAUCCGUAGAGAUCAGAAGGAAUACCGAUUGCGAAGGCGAUCUACUGGAACAUUAUUGACGCUGAGACGCGAAAGCGUGGGGAGCAAACAGGAUUAGAUACCCUGGUAGUCCACGCCCUAAACGAUGUACACUAGUUGUUGUGAGGCUCGACCUUGCAGUAAUGCAGUUAACACAUUAAGUGUACCGCCUGGGGAGUACGGUCGCAAGAUUAAAACUCAAAGGAAUAGACGGGGACCCGCACAAGCGGUGGAGCAUGUGGUUUAAUUCGACGAUACACGAAGAACCUUACCUGGACUUGACAUAGUAAGAACUUUCUAGAGAUAGAUUGGUGUCUGCUUGCAGAAACUUAUAUACAGGUGCUGCACGGCUGUCGUCAGCUCGUGUCGUGAGAUGUUGGGUUAAGUCCCGCAACGAGCGCAACCCUCGUCAUUAGUUGCUAACAGUUCGGCUGAGAACUCUAAUGAGACUGCCUACGCAAGUAGGAGGAAGGUGAGGACGACGUCAAGUCAUCAUGGCCCUUACGUCCAGGGCUACACACGUGCUACAAUGGGGUAUACAAAGAGCCGCAAUACGGUGACGUGGAGCAAAUCUCAAAAAUAUCUCCCAGUUCGGAUUGUAGUCUGCAACU
rnacentral:rRNA from 1 species